GGCCCAAACGGACCCUUUGCAUAGGGGCAGUCCUUAUUCCGGGACUCCGCUGGACAACGCCGCUAACCGCGCCCGUUGGACUAGAGCCCGUUGAGACUUCAAGCCUGAGCAAUUUUCCUAGGAAUAUUUGAAAAUGCACUUCAAGGUGCGGAAGGCUAUAAUUUGG